rnacentral:rRNA from 1 species
UACAGAGGGGGCAAGCGUUAUUCGGAAUUAUUGGGCGUAAAGAGCUCGUAGGCGGCUUGUCGCGUCGACUGUGAAAACCCGUGGCUCAACCAUGUGGUCUGCAGUCGAUACGGGCAGGCUAGAAUUCGGUAGGGGAGACUGGAAUUCCUGGUGUAGCGGUGAAAUGCGCAGAUAUCAGGAGGAACACCGGUGGCGAAGGCGGGUCUCUGGGCCGAUAUUGACGCUGAGGAGCGAAAGCGUGGGGAGCGAACAGG